rnacentral:rRNA from 1 species
UUCCCUACGGGUGGCUGCAGUGGGGAAUAUUGGACAAUGGGCGCAAGCCUGAUCCAGCCAUGCCGCGUGAGUGACGAAGGCCUUAGGGUUGUAAAGCUCUUUUGGCGGGGACGAUAAUGACGGUACCCGCAGAAUAAGCCCCGGCUAACUUCGUGCCAGCAGCCGCGGUAAUACGAAGGGGGCUAGCGUUGUUCGGAAUCACUGGGCGUAAAGCGCACGUAGGCGGAUUUGUUAGUCAGGGGUGAAAUCCCGGGGCUCAACCUCGGAACUGCCUUUGAUACUGCAAGUCUCGAGUCCGGAAGAGGUGAGUGGAAUUCCUAGUGUAGAGGUGAAAUUCGUAGAUAUUAGGAAGAACACCAGUGGCGAAGGCGGCUCACUGGUCCGGUACUGACGCUGAGGUGCGAAAGCGUGGGGAGCAAACAGGAUUAGAUACCCUUGUAGUC